GACGAACGCUGGCGGCGUGCCUAAUACAUGCAAGUCGUACGCUUCUUUUUCCACCGGAGCUUGCUCCACCGRAAAAAGAAGAGUGGCGAACGGGUGAGUAACACGUGGGUAACCUGCCCAUCAGAAGGGGAUAACACUUGGAAACAGGUGCUAAUACCGUAUAACAAUCGAAACCGCAUGGUUUUGAUUUGAAAGGCGCUUUCGGGUGUCGCUGAUGGAUGGACCCGCGGUGCAUUAGCUAGUUGGUGAGGUAACGGCUCACCAAGGCCACGAUGCAUAGCCGACCUGAGAGGGUGAUCGGCCACAUUGGGACUGAGACACGGCCCAAACUCCUACGGGAGGCAGCAGUAGGGAAUCUUCGGCAAUGGACGAAAGUCUGACCGAGCAACGCCGCGUGAGUGAAGAAGGUUUUCGGAUCGUAAAACUCUGUUGUUAGAGAAGAACAAGGAUGAGAGUAACUGUUCAUCCCUUGACGGUAUCUAACCAGAAAGCCACGGCUAACUACGUGCCAGCAGCCGCGGUAAUACGUAGGUGGCAAGCGUUGUCCGGAUUUAUUGGGCGUAAAGCGAGCGCAGGCGGUUUCUUAAGUCUGAUGUGAAAGCCCCCGGCUCAACCGGGGAGGGUCAUUGGAAACUGGGAGACUUGAGUGCAGAAGAGGAGAGUGGAAUUCCAUGUGUAGCGGUGAAAUGCGUAGAUAUAUGGAGGAACACCAGUGGCGAAGGCGGCUCUCUGGUCUGUAACUGACGCUGAGGCUCGAAAGCGUGGGGAGCAAACAGGAUUAGAUACCCUGGUAGUCCACGCCGUAAACGAUGAGUGCUAAGUGUUGGAGGGUUUCCGCCCUUCAGUGCUGCAGCUAACGCAUUAAGCACUCCGCCUGGGGAGUACGACCGCAAGGUUGAAACUCAAAGGAAUUGACGGGGGCCCGCACAAGCGGUGGAGCAUGUGGUUUAAUUCGAAGCAACGCGAAGAACCUUACCAGGUCUUGACAUCCUUUGACCACUCUAGAGAUAGAGCUUCCCCUUCGGGGGCAAAGUGACAGGUGGUGCAUGGUUGUCGUCAGCUCGUGUCGUGAGAUGUUGGGUUAAGUCCCGCAACGAGCGCAACCCUUAUUGUUAGUUGCCAUCAUUYAGUUGGGCACUCUAGCAAGACUGCCGGUGACAAACCGGAGGAAGGUGGGGAUGACGUCAAAUCAUCAUGCCCCUUAUGACCUGGGCUACACACGUGCUACAAUGGGAAGUACAACGAGUCGCGAAGUCGCGAGGCUAAGCUAAUCUCUUAAAGCUUCUCUCAGUUCGGAUUGUAGGCUGCAACUCGCCUACAUGAAGCCGGAAUCGCUAGUAAUCGCGGAUCAGCACGCCGCGGUGAAUACGUUCCCGGGCCUUGUACACACCGCCCGUCACACCACGAGAGUUUGUAACACCCGAAGUCGGUGAGGUAACCUUUUGGAGCCAGCCGCCUAAGGUGGGAUAGAUGAUUGGGGUGAAGUCGUAACAAGGUAGCCGUAUCGGAAGGUGCGGCUGGAUCACCUCCUUUCU
rnacentral:rRNA from 1 species